AGCUUAUUUAUUAUAUCUGAUGAUCAUAUAUGGUACAAGAGGUAAAAAAAAAAAACAGAGCAAAGUUCCUGAUAAAUAGAGAGCCUAGUUUUAGAUCUCAACCUCCCUUCUCUAAUAAAUACUUUGGGUGAGCACAAGUAUGCGUGAUACAACCGUUCCCCCUUUAAAUCCUUCACAUGAAUUCACCUUCUUUCCUCUACUAGCUAUUGUCAUAGUCUUUUCUAACCACAAAGAUUUCACUUAAUCUACCCUACAUAUCUUUUUUCACAAUUUUAUCACAUAAAUGUAAAGGUUAACGGCAGGUGACCUUCGGUUUAACUCCAAACGAUAUUAGGGUCAAGUACUCACCGUUUCUUGGUCCAAUAUUAGACCUUAUUGAUCCUUUGUUCCUAAAAAGAAUGUGCACCCAAGUUAAAGAGAUAUGAUAACGAUAAAUGUCAUAUUGUUGUGUUAUGAAACAAUAAAUAAUUUUUUUUCUCACAUAAUUUUCAUCAUCUAGAAACUAUUUUGUCGGACAUACUAUUGGUACUAAAUAUAAAUAUCUCUCUUAACUUUUAAUCAGAUUCAAAUCUUAAUUUGUCACGUUACAAAAAACUGAUCUGUUAGUUAAAAAACUUAAAUAUAUAUCACACACAUAAAUUGAUCAGAUUUAUAAACACAGGAAUCACGAAUUACCUAAUAAUUUCUGCUUCUACUAGACCUGUUUGCCCUUGAAUUAUAUCUGUCAUUUUUAUGAGGCAGACACUGC
rnacentral:lncRNA from 1 species